UACAGAGGUCCUAAGCGUUGUUCGGAUUCACUGGGCGUAAAGGGUGCGUAGGUGGUGGGGUAAGUCGGAUGUGAAAUCUCCAGGCUCAACCUGGAAAUGGCAUUGGAAACUACCUUGCUAGAGGGUUUGAGGGGGGGACUGGAAUACUUGGUGUAGCAGUGAAAUGCGUAGAUAUCAAGUGGAACACCAGUGGCGAAGGCGAGUCCCUGGAAAAUACCUGACACUGAGGCACGAAAGCUAGGGGAGCAAACAGG
rnacentral:rRNA from 1 species